GGACUUUAGACCAGGACUGCCUGGUGACUACAGUCUGUCUGGACGAACAGCUGGGAAAGCCAAAUAUUAAGGCCAAGACGACACGACCAGAUGAAUAACAGUUUAGACUGUGGCUGCAGAAUUGGAAUCACGUUUCUCCUCCCCCUUUGAUGAGACAAGGUCGGAACUACUAAGGCAUAGAAGUGACAGCUGACAAUGAUGAAGGAGUCCAAGGAAACAUGAAACAGAAAGUCACAGUUGUCCAGGGCCGACUCUGCCCAGGUCGUUCAGAAAUCCCCACGGGUAGCACUGGAUUGCAGCACUUCACUUGCUCAUGAGGAGCAGUGUGAGUCAUCGGUGUCAAUCCAUGAUCAAAUGCUCCUUUUUAACAAAGACUUGGGAGUGUGUGAUGAACUAAUUCAAACUAGAAAACUUCAUCAUUUAAGGGAGGCACCAGGCGUCACUCUAAAAAGUUAACUUGGUGGGAGCCUUCCUUUCCUUAUGCAACAGGCAUUGCCCUUUCACCAAAAGAUGUCUCACAAGUGCUCCAGGAUUACAUCUACAGGAAGCUGAUAGGGCGCUGAUGAAAUCCACAGUGCCCUAGUUUCACAUAUUAUAUUCAAUUUAGGAAAGAAAUUUCUAAAUGAGUUUCUCAUUCCAAUAACCUUAGUAACGAAAAUAGAAAUAAUAGCAGAUAAUAUUUAUUAUGCACUUAUUAUGCAUCAAGCAACGUGUUGAUAUCCUUACAGAGAUCAGCUGAUUUAAUCUCCCAACAACCAUAAGAAGCUGAUAUUCUUAUAAUCUCCAAAGUACUGAUGAGGAAAGGAUGCUUUUCCUUACUCCCCCAGGUCCUACUGUAGACAAGAGGCAGAGCUGAAUUUGAAUUCUGACCAGGUGACUCCAGAGACAGUGGAAAUCUGUGAUUCAGGUAGACUUCUUUGUCAUUGGAUCAGGGUCAGAGUGUUUCCAAAAAUAGCAUUCCUUUUUUAAAAAUGUUACUGUGCUCUCUUUUAAUCCUAACUCUAUUCAGGAAAUCUAUUCCUGUGGUUUUUAAAGUAAAAUUGAAAUUCUUGGUAAAAAAAUGAACAUGGCAUCAAAAAAGCUACAAGAGAGAAAAUGAGAAUUUUAAGGUAUGGUUUAUUAAACAGAAAUCAGUCAAAGGUGUGUAGUUUCAUCAACUGCAUGAAUAGUGUCAUCAAACCUAUAAAAUUCUAUAUGCCUUAUUAAAUGGCUUCAUUGAAUAAAAAAAUGCAUUAAAACAAAUGUGCUAAUUGAUGGAAUGAUGGGUCUAAAUCAGGAAAUGUAUAAUAGGAAAAACAAAGACUUCAGAUCAAAUAUAGGAAAAAGUUAAAAAUUAUAGGAAAUAAAGAUUUAUUAAUUACUUCCAAAUGAAUUAAUAUAUAUGUGUAGCUAUCCAUACACAUAGUUACCAUACUUUGUUACAUAAGAUAUUUUAAAGUAAACAGCUUAUGUUUUGAAGUUCUGCCUCCAAAGGAAAGAUUCAAGUACUAAAGAUACCAAUUUGUUUACAAAAAUAGUUAAGGCUCUGAGAAAUAGUGUAACUUCUUAAUACCCUAUAAUCCAAUUUCUUCAGCAAUUUAGCAAAUUCAUAUGCAGAGAUAUUACAAAGAUAUGUACUACCUAGUUCAAAUGGAUCAUAUUUCCCUAAGUUGUAGAGCCUGAGAAUUAAUGUGGAUUCUAAUUCAUAACAUAUUUUGACCUUUUUAUGUAAUGAACUGCCCAUGAUUGUGCUUUUGAAUGACAAAGCUAGAGGAGGAGAAGUAAGAGAAAGGAUCCAGAAUUAUCUGGGCAUUAUGUAUUUAUUUGAAUGCUAAGGAAGAAUUUCAGUGAAUGUAAUAGCAGCAAAUUGCACACUGAUGAUUCAGGCUCCCAUUUCGUUUGGUAUUUUCAGGAAAAUACAGUUACCUUAGCAACUAGCAUAUCACAUGGCACAUGCUGUAGCAUGCAGAAUGUCUCCAAGUCAAAAGCUUGCCCUUCCGGAAGAAGUCAUACCAGGAAACGGGAAAAUAAAUAAACCAACCUCUUCACAUAGUAAAUUAUGUCAUUUAUCUCCCUGACAGGUAAAAGAUAAUUUAUAUUUAAGUGAGUUUUUCUUUGCUACAGUCCUAUCAAAAUGGCAGUACAUAUGUUACAUGGAUGAAGGAAAAAAGGAAAGAAGCUACAUAGCUUAAGGGUAUAAAGUAAAUCUUCAGUUGAAUCAACUCUGAACAUUACAUUGACUGACAUAAACCUAUACAACUGAAUGAGUGUUAUAAGAUACUUUUGCAAAUUUAAAUAUUACGGUACUGUUAAACACCAAGAAGUAGAGGAGUUUUUAUCCUGGUGGUAAUAAUUCCAAAACUGACAAAAUUAUAGUGAACGAAUUUAAAAGUGGGUCUUUACAAGUCCAAAACAACUUGUUUGAAUAUGAAAUAUGCAAUUAAACUGAUUACUAUUUUUAUUGUUACAGAGACCCAAAUCUUACUAAAUCAGAGAAAAAUAAAUGCCUUUUUUAAAAAUUCUCUGUGUAUGCACUGAAGAAGAAAUAAAUAUCUACUGCUUGCCUCCCAAGUGUCCAAAUUUUUCAGCAGUAAGACAGAAAAGGAGCCUGUUUUUGCAGAAUUUACAUUCAAGUUAGGAGAAACAUACAAUAAAAAAGAAAAGAAAAGAAACAGUGUAAAUUAGGCUGUGCUAACUUUCAUGAAGAAUAUGGAACAGACCUCUUCUUCCUUUACCUCUUGCUCUCCUCAUACCCUUGUGGAUGUUUCAAUCCUAAAACUGUAAGACGGGGAGACUGAAGAGGAGGUGGACACAGGAGGGGUUACAGCCAGCCAGUGUGGAUGAGGAGAGCCCGGCAGGGCGUGAACACCUGCAGCAGCAGCAGGGCAGGAUGCGAGCAGCUGGGACUGGUCACAGGCAGGAGCUGCAUCACGUGAGCAAAUGCCCUAAGGAUAAGGGAAGUCAGAUUUCUCACUGUUGGAAAACGGAAUUACAAAUUCAAAAAUGAGAAAAUUACAAUAAACUCUGUAGAGUUGGAUUAGAAAAUGUAUGGCUUUUAAUAUACAUGCAGAUAAAUAUAGAAAUAAACAUACAGUGUAGAAAUACAUACAUUUCAUACAUAAUGAAUAUUUCUAAUACCUGAUGUAUAUAAUACAGGCAUAUUAUUUAUGUAUAUAUAACAUACAUAUUCCCUGUAUUCUUCCCUGAGAGGGUUCAAGCACAAAACUCAAUUAGCCAUGAGCACACCUGAAGCCUAGAUCUUGGAUUGCAAAUACUCUUUUUCAUUAAAUGAGAACAAGGCUCCUUGAGAAGAUGGCUGAUUCUGGGGCUGGGGCAGGGAAAGUACAAUAUGAACCCAAAUAUUGUACUGUACUAGAAUGUAAAGAAACACUGAAACAAUGUUUGGAAUAUGUCAAAAGAGAAAAUCAGUUAACUUGGAAAGACUCCCACCAGCCAAAUCUAGGACCAUUUGAGCAUCAAAAUAUUAAUAGCCAUGGACUAAAACAUAUUGAAUAAAAUAGGGAACCAUUUGUUCAUACAGAUAUAAAUAAAUUAAUUAAAACAUAAAUCUGACAAAGAAAAUGAUAUUUUAAGUUUUAAAGGACCUCCCCACAAAAUGCUUACAAAUUGUGAUAGGAAAUGAAUAACUUGAUGAAGGUGAACAUCACUUGGAAAGGAUGGGCUCAAACCCAUGUGUCACCUGGGAAGGGGCAAUGAGAGGCAAACAGGAUCGUUUUCUGUGAUAUUUUUUCCAGUGAGGCAUAACAAUCUAAUCACAAGCACAUAUCAGACAAAUGCAUAUUGGAGAACAUUCUACAAGAUCGCUCACUGGCCUGUAAUGUGGUCAUUAAAGUCAAGGAAAGACUGAGGAGGAAUUCUUUCAGAUUGAAGAGAUUAAAGAUAGCUAAAUGCAAUUUGUAAAUCCUUCUGUUCUGAAAGAUCUUAUUGGAACAAUAUAAAUAGAGCCAAAUGGUUACAUGAAAGUAGUAUUGUAUUUAUCAAAAUAAGUCAUUUAUAAAAUUUAAUUAAUUGAAUUUAAAUUUCAAAAAUGCAUUAAAAUAAAUGGCACUGUACGUUAAUUUUCUGACUUUGUUGCUUAUAAUGCAGCUAUAUUAGAGGAUGUCCAUAUUUGUAGGAAAUACCCUCUAAAAUAGUAGAGAGUGACUGGGCAUUAUAUCAGUGUCUUACUCUCAAGUGGUUCAGGGGAAAUUUUUCUUUGUAUCAUUCUUCUACCUUUUCUUUGUUGUGGUUAUUUCAAAAUAAAAGAAUAUGUAAAAAGGUAGUAAGGCAGAUGGUGACUGCACAUGAGCAAGUCCUUUAAGCUUGCACUGUCAAGAAAAUGUAUUCUCUGAAGAGGUGGCAUUUCAAUCUGAGAACUGAAAAAUAAGUCAGUCAUUCAAAGAUUUGGCUGAAGAGCCUUGCAGACAGAGGGAACAGCUGGCGCUGAGGCCCUAGGCUUGAAGGAGUUUAGUGAGUUCCAAGAAUAGCAAAAUAAAAUGUCCAGUGUAGCUACAGCCUAGUGAAUAAGGAAGAUGAUGGAAGGGCAGAGGCAGGCUCUUGGGAGAAGCUUCAUCAGGAGUGAUAAGUUUGGAACUUAAUUUGAGGUGCCAAGGAAAACCACUGAAGGACUUGAGCAAGAAUGUAAUAUAAAUGUACUCAUUUCCAUUUUCAAAACCACUCAGCAGAGGAAGGGGACAAGAGUUAAUGUAGAGAAAUAAGUGUUAUUUGCACUCAGAGUAAAAAAUGGAAAAAGGUGUCACACAUAUUGGAAGUAAAGGUGAUAGGGUUUAUCACUAUCACUACUGAAUGAGGAUGUUGAAGAAAAGAGAAAACUAAAGGGCAAAAAGAACAACUAUUCCUUAUUUAGAGGUUAUGGGCCAGACAGCCUUGAGUCACUUUACUCGCAUUCAGUCCUAUGAGACAAGUGCCAUUGCUAGCCCCACUUAAAAAUACUGAGGCAUGAAAGGUUACGUGACAAGGCUGAAGCCGCACAGACGGUAGGUCGCAGAGCUGUGGUGUGAGCCCAGAACUGCAUAUGAAAUGUGUACUAUAAAUUCUUUCUUUCUAAACUGACUUUUUGAGGUCUAAUUUAUAUAAAAUAUACCUCCUGUGAGUGUACCACUCAAUUUUUUUUAUUGAAGUACAGUUGAUAUACUCAAUGAUUUUUGACAAGUAUAUUCAGCUGUGUUUUAAUACCACCACACUCAAGAUACAAAAUAUUUCCACUGCCUAAGAGUUUCUGCUGUAACCUUUUAAUCACCCCAUCACCAUGCCUGACCCUCCCAGCUCCAGGCAAAAACUAAUCUGUUCUCUGUCACUCUCAUUUAGUUUUGCUUGCUCUAGGAUUUUAUUUCAAGGGAAUCAUAUAAUAUGUACUCUUUGUGUCUAGCUUUUUCACUUAGCUUAAAUGCUUUUAAGUUUUCAUCAUAUUUUACAUAGACUGAGAAUUUAUUCUUUUUAUUGUAGUAUACUGUUCCAUUAUACAAACAGAACACAAUUUGCAAUCCAUUCACUAGCUGAUGGACAUUUAGGCUUUUUCCAGUAUUUGGCUUUUUUGAGUAAAGCUUGCAGGAACAUUUGUGUACAUGUCUUUUUAUAAAAAUUUUUUCAUUUCUUUUCAAAUGGAUAACAGGAAUGGAAUUCCUAGGUCAUAUGUCCAUUUUAUAAGUAACUGAUGAACAGUUUUUCAAAGUGGUUGUAUCACUUGAUAGUCCCAUCAGGAACAAAUGAGAAUUCCACUUGAUUACUGUUGCUCUGUCAACAUUUGGUACUGUCAGCAUUUUAACUUUUAACCAUUUUAGUGUGUUUGUAAUUUGUAUUUUGUGAUUAUAGUAAUGUUGAACACCUUUUCCAUGUCUUUAUUGGCCAUUCAUAGAUCAUCUUUUCUAAGUGUUUUAUACUUCCAUAUACUCAGCACCUGGUUUUCCCCAUUUAAAAUCACUUUCUUUUAUCUUCUUAUUACAAGUCCUUUGUCAUAUGUAUGUACAAAUACAUGUGUGUAUGUGUAUAUAUGUAUACACAUAUGUAUAGUGAAUGUUCUCUCCCCAUCUGUGUCUUGACCUUUCAUUUUCUUAAUGAUGUCUUUUGAAGAUAAAAAGUUUUCGAUUUUGGUGAAGUUUAAUAAAUAUUGUUUUCUCUUAUAAGUAGUGCUUUUUUGUCCUAAAACCCUUACUACAAGGUUGCAAACAUGUUCUCCUGUUUUCUUUUCAUUAGUUAGCUUUUAUUUAGAUCCAUGAUCUAUUUCUAGUUAAUUUUCUGUAUGGUGUGAAGUAAUGAUUGAAAGUAUUUUUUCUGGUAAUUCAUAACAAGUUGUUCCAACACCAUUUUUAAAAAGACCAUCUUUUCCCUGUUAUACUGGUACCUUGGUAAAAAAUUAAUUGGUCAUGUAUGUGUGGGUCUCUUUGUAGAUUCUGCAUUCUGUUCCCUAGAUUACUGUGUCUAUUCCUAUGCCAGUUGUAUACUGUCUUAUUUAUUGUAGUUGUAUAAUAAAUCAUGAAAUCAAGUAG